CCUACGGGAGGCAGCAGUGAGGAAUAUUGGUCAAUGGACGAGAGUCUGAAGCAGCAAAGUAGCGUGAAGGAUGACUGCCCUAUGGGGUGUAAACUUCUUUUAUAUGGGAAUAAAAUGUUCCACGUGUGGGAUUUUGUAUGUACCAUAUGAAUAAGGAUCGGCUAACUCCGUGCCAGCAGCCGCGGUAAUACGGAGGAUCCGAGCGUUAUCCGGAUUUAUUGGGUGUAAAGGGAGCGUAGGUGGAUUGUUAAGUCAGUUGUGAAAGUUUGCGGCUCAACCGUAAAAUUGCAGUUGAUACUGGCAGUCUAGAGUACAGUAGAGGUGGGCGGAAUUCGUGGUGUAGCGGUGAAAUGCUUAGAUAUCACGAAGAACUCCGAUUGCGAAGGCAGUUCACUGGACUGCAACUGACACUGAGGCUCGAAAGUGUGGGUAUCAAACAGGAUUAGAUACCCUAGUAGUC
rnacentral:rRNA from 1 species